CUACGGGGGGCAGCAGUGGGGGAUAUUGCACAAUGGAGGAAACUCUGAUGCAGCGACGCCGCGUGAGUGAUGAAGUAUUUCGGUAUGUAAAGCUCUAUCAGCAGGGAAGAAAGGCUCCGUAUGGAGAGAUGACGGUACCUGAGUAAGAAGCCCCGGCUAACUACGUGCCGGCAGCCGCGGUAAUACGUAGGGGGCGAGCGUUAUCCGGAUUUACUGGGUGUAAAGGGAGCACAGACGGAUCUGCAAGUCUGAUGUGAAAGCCCGGGGCUCACCCCCGGGACUGCAUUGGAAACUGUAGAUCUGGAGUAUUGGAAGGGCAAGCGGAAUUCCUGGUGUAGCGGUGAAAUGCGUAGAUAUCAGGAGGAACACCGGUGGCGAAGGCGGCUUGCUGGACAAUAACUGACGUUGAGGCUCGAAAGCGUGGGGAGCAAACAGGAUUAGAUACCCCCGUAGUC
rnacentral:rRNA from 1 species